rnacentral:rRNA from 1 species
UACAGAGGUCCCAAGCGUUGUUCGGAUUCACUGGGCUUAAAGGGCGCGUAGGCGGCUCGCGAGGUCGGGGGUGAAAUCCCACGGCUCAACCGUGGAAGGGCCUCCGAUACCGGCGGGCUGGAGGAAGGUAGGGGUGCGCGGAACUUCUGGUGGAGCGGUGAAAUGCGUUGAUAUCAGAAGGAACGCCGGCGGCGAAAGCGGCGCACUGGACCUUUACUGACGCUGAGGCGCGAAAGCCAGGGGAGCAAACGGG